AGCAGCUUGGCGCAGUGGAUAGCGUGUUGGGCUCAUAACCCCAAAGGUCCCUUGAUCGAAACAAGGAGCCGCUA
rfam:Perkinsus marinus ATCC 50983 gcontig_1104296729956, whole genome shotgun sequence.